AGCAGCCGCGGUAAUUCCAGCUCCAAUAGCGUAUAUUAAAGUUGUUGCAGUUAAAAAGCUCGUAGUUGAAUUUCGGGAUCAAUUAGUCGGUCGUGCCUCUGGUACGUACUGGUUUUAUUGGUUCCUCCCUUCUGACGAAACAUGAUGUCAUUAAUUUGGUGUCGUGGAGAAUCAGGACUGUUACCUUGAAAAAUUAGAGUGUUUAUAGCAGGCUAACGCUUGAAUACAUUAGCAUGGAAUAAUGAAAUAGGACGUUCGACCCUAUUUUGUUGGUUUCUAGGAUCGACGUAAUGAUUAAUAGGGAUAGUUGGGGGCAUUAGUAUUCAAUUGUCAGAGGUGAAAUUCUUGGAUUUAUUGAAGGCUAACUACUGCGAAAGCAUUUGCCAAGGAUGUUUCAUUAAUCAAGAACGAAAGUUAGGGGAUCGAAGACGAUCAGAUACCGUCGUAGUCUUAACCAUAAACUAUGCCGACUAGGGAUCGGAUGAUGUUAAUUUUUAAUGUACUCAUUCGGCGCCUUAAC
rnacentral:rRNA from 1 species